rnacentral:rRNA from 1 species
UACGGAGGAGGCAAGCGUUAUCCGGAAUUAUUGGGCGUAAAGCGUCCGUAGAUGGUUUUGUCAGUCUGCUGUCAAAGCACAGGGCUUAACCCUGUAAAGGCAGUGGAAACUACAAGACUAGAGUGCAGUAGGGGCAGAGGGAACUCCCAGUGUAGCGGUGAAAUGCGUAGAUAUCGAGAGGAACACCUGCGGCGAAGGCGGGUUGCUGGGCUGACACUGACGCUGAACUGCGAAAGCUAGGGGAGCGAACGGG